GGAGAGAUGAGAGAUGGCUCAGCAAUUA
rnacentral:piRNA from 1 species